UACGGGGGGGGCAAGCGUUGUUCGGAAUUACUGGGCGUAAAGGGCGCGUAGGUGGCCAACUAAGUCAGACGUGAAAUCCCUCGGCUUAACCGAGGAACUGCAUCUGAUACUGGAUGGCUGGAGUGUGGGAGAGGGAUGCGGAAUUCCAGGUGUAGCGGUGAAAUGCGUGGAUAUCUGGAGGAACACCGGUGGCGAAGGCGGCAUCCUGGACCAUUACUGACACUGAAACGCGAAAGCCAGGGGAGCAAACGGG
rnacentral:rRNA from 1 species